AAUUGAUUCUAAGGCCCUUCGACUUUCCUCAUCAGCCCGCUUGAGGAAAGUCGGGUAUCGGGUGGACCAAGGCCUUUAGCUUUCCAAGAGUCGAAGACACGAAGGACCCAAGAAGAGGCUCUUUUACGCGGUUAUCUCAGUUCCCGACAUCGCUCUAUCCGUCCUUGCUAAUUUGAGCUAGCGGCGGUUAUCCCGCAAAGGACCGAAGCCCAAGCGUAGGUGCUGGGAAGCUCUAUCCAUUGGUGGGCUUGGGAAAGGGUAUUACAUUA
rnacentral:misc_RNA from 1 species